rnacentral:lncRNA from 1 species
AGACCGUCUAGGUCCUCUCACAAGGUCAAUGGCUAAGCAUGUACAAGCACAAGUGGAUGAAGCCACGGAUGGAAGAGAGAAAGCCUUGUACAUGUUGCAUAAAGGCCCAAUAGGGGUACUUAGUAGAUAGGGUAGUGUAGAAAGCACAUUUGAUGGAAACAUUCUAGAAACUUGCUAGGUGUGACCGGUCAUAGCACAUGGCCUAGGCUUUGCAUUUCAUUUGGUUUACAUUUCAUUAUGUAUUAGCUUAAGAAUCAC